rnacentral:rRNA from 1 species
AGUGAACGCUGGCGGUAGGCCUAACACAUGCAAGUCGAACGGCAGCACAGUAAGAGCUUGCUCUUACGGGUGGCGAGUGGCGGACGGGUGAGGAAUACAUCGGAAUCUACUUUUUCGUGGGGGAUAACGUAGGGAAACUUACGCUAAUACCGCAUACGACCUACGGGUGAAAGCAGGGGAUCUUCGGACCUUGCGCGAUUGAAUGAGCCGAUGUCGGAUUAGCUAGUUGGCGGGGUAAAGGCCCACCAAGGCGACGAUCCGUAGCUGGUCUGAGAGGAUGAUCGGCCAACCUGGAAAUGGACCACGGCCCAACUCCCUAGGGGGGGCAGCAGGGGGGAAGAUUGGACAAGGGGGGAAAGCCUGACCCAGCAAAACCGGGGGGGUGAAGAAGGCCUUGGGGUUGAAAAGCCCUUUUGUGGGGAAAAAAAAGCAGAAGGUUAAAACCCCGCGGUUUGGACGGUACCAAAAGAAUAAGCACCGGCUAAUUUCGG